rnacentral:lncRNA from 1 species
GAAAAGGCAGAGAGUGAUGAUAGACGAAUAACAGUGGUUGUUGAAAUAGGGAGUAGUUGUGUGAAAAUAGUCGCCUUUCAUGACAUCAACCUCUUUGACGAAACACCAAAUCAGUCUCUAUCUGUAUUCUUUAAUCUUUAUUUCUCAUCCACACCUGUCGUGGUUUUGUUAUCUGUUGACCAGGUCUAAUAUGGCGGUAGGUAAUAAUAUUUCCAUUGGUCAUCACCUUAUUUUCUGCUAAUAGUGUAAGCAAUUGAUUGAUCCAUGCAAGAUUAAUGCCCUGCAGAGGGUCCAAGAUUGAAGAUGCAUGCAUUAACCCUCCAGAUAGCCGGUAGGUAGGUAUUUUUACAUUUUGUAAAAAAAUAAUUCAAUUUUUUUAGUAUCUGAAUAAUAACGAAGAGUAACUUACCUAUCUUUAGGUCUGUCAAUCGAAC